rnacentral:rRNA from 1 species
UACGUAGGGUGCGAGCGUUAAUCGGAAUUACUGGGCGUAAAGCGUGCGCAGGCGGUUCGUUAAGUCAGCUGUGAAAGCCCCGGGCUCAACCUGGGAACUGCGGUUGAAACUGGCGAACUAGAAUCUGGCAGAGGGGGGUGGAAUUCCGCGUGUAGCAGUGAAAUGCGUAGAGAUGCGGAGGAACACCGAUGGCGAAGGCAGCCCCCUGGGCUAGCACUGACGCUCAGGCACGAAAGCGUGGGGAGCAAACAGG